AUUGAACGCUGGCGGCAUGCCUUACACAUGCAAGUCGAACGGUAACAGGUCUUCGGAUGCUGACGAGUGGCGAACGGGUGAGUAAUACAUCGGAACGUGCCUAGUAGUGGGGGAUAACUACUCGAAAGAGUGGCUAAUACCGCAUGAGAUCUACGGAUGAAAGCAGGGGAUCGCAAGACCUUGUGCUACUAGAGCGGCCGAUGGCAGAUUAGGUAGUUGGUGGGAUAAAAGCUUACCAAGCCGACGAUCUGUAGCUGGUCUGAGAGGACGAUCAGCGACACUGGGACGGGGACACGGCCCAGACUCCUACGGGAGGCAGCAGUGGGGAAUUUUGGACAAUGGGCGAAAGCCUGAUCCAGCAAUGCCGCGUGCAGGAUGAAGGCCUUCGGGUUGUAAGCUGCUUUUGUACGGAACGAAAAGCCCCGGGUUAAUACCCUGGGGUCAUGACGGUACCGUAAGAAUAAGCACCGGCUAACUACGUGCCAGCCGCCGCGGUAA
rnacentral:rRNA from 1 species